rnacentral:lncRNA from 1 species
AAUGAUAUGUCAUGUCAUAAUACAUGCAAUGAUGACAAAGCCAGGUGAAAAGGCGAUGAUGGUCAUUAAGUUCAAGAUGGGGAGGGGUUGGGGUGAGGGCUGGCCUGUCUGAGGAGGGGCAUUUGCAGUGCUGGAGCAAGCCAUGGAGGACAGGAAUUGCUCCAGUCAGAGGAACAGCAAGGACAAGGGGCCCAAGACGGCAUGUACUAGAGGCUCCACGCAUAGAAAAAGCCAGCCAUCCCCAGCGCUGUAACUGAGUGGCCAGUGGUGGGAGAAUUGGGACAUUGGCUUUUUCCUGCCUCUACACUACAACUACACCAUCAAGCCUUCAGACAUGGAAAGGAACCACACUAUUGGCUCUCCUCGGUCUUCAGCUUGCCAACUCAAUGCAGAUCUUUGCAUUUGUCAGCCUUAUAACCAUGUGAGCUAAUUCCCUAAAAUAAAUGUCC